GCCUGGCUGGCUCUAUCCAUAGAGCAUGUGACUCUUGAUCAUGGGGCUGUGAGUUCAAGCCCCAUGUUGGGUG
rnacentral:tRNA from 1 species